rnacentral:rRNA from 1 species
GAUGAGCGCUGGCGGCGUGCCUAAUACAUGCAAGUCGAGCGAAUGGAUUAAGAGCUUGCUCUUAUGAAGUUAGCGGCGGACGGGUGAGUAACACGUGGGUAACCUGCCCAUAAGACUGGGAUAACUCCGGGAAACCGGGGCUAAUACCGGAUAACAUUUUGAACCGCAUGGUUCGAAAUUGAAAGGCGGCUUCGGCUGUCACUUAUGGAUGGACCCGCGUCACAUUAGCUAGUUGGUGAGGUAACGGCUCACCAAGGCAACGAUGCGUAGCCGAGCGGAGAGGGUGAUCGGCCACACUGGGACUGAGACACGGCCCAGACUCCUACGGGAGGCAGCAGUAGGGAAUCUUCCGCAAUGGACGAAAGUCUGACGGAGCAACGCCGCGUGAGUGACGAAGGCUUUCGGGUCGUAAAACUCUGUUGUUAGGGAAGAACAAGUGCUAGUUGAAUAAGCUGGCACCUUGACGGUACCUAACCAGAAAGCCACGGCUAACUACGUGCCAGCCGCCGCAGUAA